GCGGGAACUUGUGACGUCACAGCUCGCUAAUGUUGGCCCGAGUUCCUAGUUCUUGUCUGAAAAGAACUGAACGCCUUGCGGUGCCGAUCGAUUGAAGUGAUCGAUCAGGAGCAUCGUGUGUGCGCACGUCAAAGGUCAAAAAGAAAAGAAAAAGGUGGACAUCAGUGAGGUGCGAGUGCAAAACCCGCUCAUAGAAAACAAAUCUGAGAAUGAGGCGCCAGGCGUGGAAGUGGUCCCACCAGGACGCCCGUUGGUGGUGACGCAGCCCUCGUCGGAGGACGCCACCACGGGCGUUCCCGAGGAGAACAAGGACGAUCCGAGCGAUCGACUCCUCACGGUAAACGGCAACUACGUGAUGCAGGAGAACGGGAAAGCCGAAGUCCUCUCCUGCCAGGAGUCCCAAAACGGGACUUUGAUGAGCAAAAUGUCUUUGUCGCCAUGACAACCACGUCAUUUAUGACCCUGACGCCGAUUAUUGAAGGCAAUUUUUGUCAUCUGAGUUAAGUUAAAGUACCCAUGAUUGUCACACACACACCAGGUGUGGCAAAUUCACCCUUGGUCACCCCCUCCCUGGGAGGUGAGGGGAGCAGUGAGCAGCAGCGGUGGCCGCGCCCGGGAAUGGUUUUUGGUGAUUUAACCCCCAAUUCCAACCCUUGAUGCUGAGUGUCAAGCAGGGAGGUAACGGGUCCCAUUUUUAUAGUCUUUGGUUGAUGUGAGAAAGUGAUGGCUAAUGCUAAUGCUAAAGCUAACUUGCUUGGUUUACUCGUCCUCACCAACAAGGUACAUGUACACUAUUCUAUUCUACUUGUAAAAAGUCAGUUUUGUUUGCUAAAAUACUUGACUAGGUGUUAUGUAUUGAAACUGUUUUGAUUAGAACAUGUUUGGCUUGAAGGAAAAUGUACACACUUAGAAGGUUAUUAUAUACAGUCGUGGUCAAAAGUUUACAUACACUUCCAGUUUCCAGUCAUUUCUACACCUCUUAUUUUGUUGUGACGGAGUGAUUGGAGCACAUACUUGUUGGUCACAAAAAAACAUUAAUGAAGUUUGGUUCUUUUAUGAACUUAUUAUGGGUCGACUGAAAAUGUGCUGGGUCAAAAGUAUACAUACAGCAAUGUUAAUAUUUGCUUACAUGUCCCUUGGCAAGUUUCACUGCAAAAAGGCGCUUUUGGUAGCAAUCCAUAAGCUUCUGCUUGAAUUUUGGACCACUCGUCUUGACAAAAUGUUGUGGAGUUCAGCUAAAUGUGUUGGUUUUCUGACAUGGACUUGUUUCUUCAGCAUUGUCCAGACGUUUAAGUCAGGACUUUGUGAAGGCCAUUCUAAAACCUUCAUUCUAGCCUGAUGUGGACGACUUUCCCUGUCGUCCUCGGGUUCCACUGACCACCCAGGAAGGACAUCUCACUUGAGCAGGUUGGACUCUUUUAUUUCUCAAUAAAGGCAGUCUUUUACGCUGUCGUCGCUCCCGCUGCUCGCUCCUCCGUGUCUCGCUCUCCAGUCCGCUCUUUAGUCUCUCGUGUCUUGCUCUCUCUUGCUUCUUGGUCGCUGUUGCCGUCUCUCCAACUCCUCCUUUGAUCCGUCCUCCUUCUCCCCUUUUAUACAUCAUAAGGAGAAAUGUUAAUUGUUUGCCGGUGCCUGAUCCACGCACCUGAAUUAGAUUGUGGCGGUGUCU